AUUGAACGCUGGCGGCAGGCCUAACACAUGCAAGUCGAGCGGAUGAGGGAAGCUUGCUUCCCGAUUUAGCGGCGGACGGGUGAGUAAUGCCUAGGAAUCUGCCUAUUAGUGGGGGAUAACGUUCCGAAAGGAACGCUAAUACCGCAUACGUCCUACGGGAGAAAGUGGGGGAUCUUCGGACCUCACGCUAAUAGAUGAGCCUAGGUCGGAUUAGCUAGUUGGUGAGGUAACGGCUCACCAAGGCGACGAUCCGUAGCUGGUCUGAGAGGAUGAUCAGCCACACUGGAACUGAGACACGGUCCAGACUUCGACGGGAGGCAGCAGUGGGGAAUAUUGGACAAUGGGCGAAAGCCUGAUCCAGCCAUGCCGCGUGUGUGAAGAAGGUCUUCGGAUUGUAAAGCACUUUAAGUUGGGAGGAAGAGUUGUAAGCUAAUAUCUUGCAGCUUUGACGUUACCAACAGAAUAAGCACCGGCUAACUCUGUGCCAGCAGCCGCCGUAAGAC
rnacentral:rRNA from 1 species